CGGGUGAGUAACACGUGAAUAACCUACCGAAAAGCAGGGGAUAACAUUUGGAAACAGAUGCUAAUACCGUAUAAAACGUGCUGUCGCAUGACAAAACGUUAAAAGGUCCGUUUGGACCACUUUUUGAUGGAUUCGCGGUGCAUUAGUUAGUUGGUGGGGUAAAGGCCUACCAAGACGAUGAUGCAUAGCCGAGUUGAGAGACUGACCGGCCACAUUGGGACUGAGACACGGCCCAAACUCCUACGGGAGGCUGCAGUAGGGAAUCUUCCACAAUGGGCGAAAGCCUGAUGGAGCAACGCCGCGUGUGUGAUGAAGGCUUUCGGGUCGUAAAGCACUGUUGUAUGGGAAGAACGGUAAGGGUAGGAAAUGAUCUUUACAUGACGGUACCAUACCAGAAAGGGACGGCUAAAUACGUGCCAGCAGCCGCGGUAAUACGUAUGUCCCGAGCGUUAUCCGGAUUUAUUGGGCGUAAAGCGAGCGCAGACGGUUCGAUAAGUCUGAAGUGAAAGCCCACAGCUCAACUGUGGAAGUGCUUUGGAAACUGUCGAACUUGAGUGCAGUAGAGGUAAGUGGAACUCCAUGUGUAGCGGUGGAAUGCGUAGAUAUAUGGAAGAACACCAGUGGCGAAGGCGGCUUACUGGACUGCAACUGACGUUGAGGCUCGAAAGUGUGGGUAGCAAACAGGAUUAGAUACCCUGGUAGUCCACACCGUAAACGAUGAACACUAGGUGUUAGAGGGUUUCCGCCCUUUAGUGCCGAAGCUAACGCAUUAAGUGUUCCGCCUGGGGAGUACGACCGCAAGGUUGAAACUCAAAGGAAUUGACGGGGACCCGCACAAGCGGUGGAGCAUGUGGUUUAAUUUCGAAGCAACGCGAAGAACCUUACCAGGUCUUGACAUCCUUUGAAGGUACUAGAGAUAGUACUGUUUUUCUUCGGAAACAAAGUGACAGGUGUGC
rnacentral:rRNA from 1 species